rnacentral:rRNA from 1 species
AGAGUUUGAUCCUGGCUCAGGAUGAACGCUGGCGGCGCGCCUAACACAUGCAAGUCGAACGGAGCUGCUUUGAUGAAGUUUUCGGAUGGAUUUAAAACAGCUUAGUGGCGGACGGGUGAGUAACGCGUGGGUAACCUGCCUCACACUGGGGGAUAACAGUUAGAAAUAGCUGCUAAUACCGCAUAAGCGCACGGUUCCGCAUGGAACAGUGUGAAAAACUCCGGUGGUGUGAGAUGGACCCGCGUCUGAUUAGCCAGUUGGCGGGGUAACGGCCCACCAAAGCGACGAUCAGUAGCCGGCCUGAGAGGGUGAACGGCCACAUUGGGACUGAGACACGGCCCAAACUCCUACGGGAGGCAGCAGUGGGGAAUAUUGCACAAUGGGGGAAACCCUGGUGCAGCGACGCCGCGUGAGUGAAGAAGUAUUUCGGUAUGUAAAGCUCUAUCAGCAGGGGAGAAAGUGACGGUACCUGAAUAAGAAGCCCCGGCUAACUACGUGCCAGCAGCCGCGGUAAUACGCAGGGGGCAAGCGUUAUCCGGAUUUACUGGGUGUAAAGGGAGCGUAGACGGCAAGGCAAGUCUGAAGUGAAAGCCCGGUGCUUAACGCCGGGACUGCUUUGGAAACUGUUUGGCUGGAGUGCCGGAGAGGUAAGCGGAAUUCCUAGUGUAGCGGUGAAAUGCGUAGAUAUUAGGAAGAACACCAGUGGCGAAGGCGGCUUACUGGACGGUAACUGACGUUGAGGCUCGAAAGCGUGGGGAGCAAACAGGAUUAAGAUACCCUGGUAGU